rnacentral:rRNA from 1 species
UACGGAGGGGGCUAGCGUUGUUCGGAAUUACUGGGCGUAAAGGGCGCGUAGGCGGCCUGCUAAGUCGAACGUGAAAUCCCCGAGCUCAACUCGGGAACUGCGUCCGAUACUGGCAGGCUUGAAUCCGGGAGAGGGAUGCGGAAUUCCAGGUGUAGCGGUGAAAUGCGUAGAUAUCUGGAGGAACACCGGUGGCGAAGGCGGCUCUCUGGACGGUGACUGACGCUGAGACGCGAAAGCGUGGGGAGCAAACAGG